GUUUAGUAAUUGUUAAAAUAAUUUAAUUAUAUAGUUAAUUAAUUUGUGGUGAGAGGAUAAAUAAUCAAGUGGGUCAACUAAAUGGUUUUUUUAUAUAAUACAGUAUUAAUUUAUGAAAUUUACUUAAUUAAAUAGUUAUAUAACUAUUUUUUUGUAGGUUAGUUCUGUUUGGGAAAAUAUAAUGUUGUUUCCUUAAAUGUUUGUAUGCUCAACAUAUCAAAGCAUAUUUGGUCGUCCAAAAAACGGAUUGGGUUUAAAAAUGUUGGGCUCGAAUUGUGGUGGGCCUUGAAUUUACAUUUGUUCUGAUACUUAAAAAAAUCCCUUAGGUCGUCUUUUU
rnacentral:lncRNA from 1 species